GGACUACUGGGGUUUCUAAUCCCGUUCGCUACCCUAGCUUUCGCGUCUCAGCGUCAGUAGACGUCCAGGACCUCGCUUUCGCCACGGGCGUUCCUUCCGAUCUCAACGCAUUUCACCGCUCCACCGGAAGUUCCAGGUCCCCCUACGUCCCUCGAGGCGGGUCGUUUCGGCGCCCAUUCCCCGGUUGAGCCGGGGGCUUUCAACGACCGACGUUCCCGCCCGCCUACACGCGCUUUAAGCCCAGUGAUUCCGAAUAACGUUCGCACGGUUCGUCUUACCGCGGCUGCUGGCAC
rnacentral:rRNA from 1 species